rnacentral:lncRNA from 1 species
UACUAAUUACAUAUAUCUUAGUUACUGUAUAAUAUGUAUUUAGAUACUGUAAGGUGUUUAUUUGGUUACUCUAUAAUGUUAUUGAGUUUUAUAAUUGUUUCUUUUAUAUUGGUGGUUACUUAUUGACUACAUUAGUUACCUUCAUACAACUGUUAAUCUGAUUAUAUAUAUUGGUUGUUGUAUACUAUUUAAUUGGUUAUAGUAUAAUGUUUAUUUAGUUGCAGUGACAAUUUGACAAUUUUUAUCAAGUUUGGAGUGUCAGCUUUUGACGUUUUCGGAGCCUAAUUUCAUUGGAAAUGGGUCAAUGAUCAAAAGUCACAAGCUUUGCUGGUGAACUGCAGGGUUUUUUGGUCAAAUUUCAUCAUUUAGGCCUUCAAAAUUGCAUGUAAAAAUGUGAUUUAUAUUCUGGUUACUAAGAUUAUGUAAUUUGGUUACUGUCUAAUAUUGACUUGGUUACUUUACAAUGUUUAUUCAGUUGUUAGACAAUGGAGACUGACAGUAACCAAUACAACAAAUUUAAUUAUUUACAGGAAUAUAUAAUUGUUUACUGCUAGUAACUAUAAAUCACAUGGUUGGUAAUAUUUUUGAUGGUGUACAGUAACCAAAAUUGUUGUUGAUUAAUAUUUUAAUUUUUGAUUCCAUCAUGAGUUAUCAAUAUAAAGUAAACAUAUACAUUGAACAAUUGGUAACUGUUCUGAAACAUUUUUAUGUAAAUUUCGUUACCCGUCUAAAAUAAAAUGGUUACCUCUAUAUUCAUAUUUAGUUACCAACUGGCAUGGACUAUUUCCAAAUAACUUUUAUAACUACGUAAUUUAAAAAUAUACAUCAGCUAGAUAAAUAGAAACUCUCACAUGUACAUUAAGCACUUGAUACCAACCUGUGACGCCCCCAAAUUCGGGUAUCUUCCAACCCGACAGAUGGUGCUACACGGUACUACCAUUCACACAUACAUUCAAUUGAAAGGCCUCAAAGGAACAAAUAUGUCUUUUAUAUAUUCAAAAUAAUAUUAACAUUCCCCAACUUCUUUAUAACCAUUACAUUUAUUCUUGUCAUAGUAUCAAAUAUAUUACAACAUUAAACCUAUACUAUUACAAAAGUAUUCUACGGGUUUGUCUUCGCGUUUCCUUUAUCCUUGCCAGAUCCUUCGGUUCGUUCGGUCUUAGCAGUAUUCAUAUGGUUCAAGCAAGAGUGAGCAUGACUAACUCAGUAAGUACAACAAUUCUAUUUAACAAUAUGCUUGAAUCAUAGAAAACAUAUAUCUUUAAUAACUGAACAAUAGUUAUGAAGUACUAUCGAUAAUUCAAAAUAACACUUCUCUUUUCUUUAAAACAUUUUACAAUAACAAUAUUCAGUAAAACAUCAAUUCCUGUCCAAGACCUUGAACAUUUCAUACUUUAUUUGAAAAGGACAUCCCGACACUAAGUUUGUAUGUCCGACAUUUCUUACGAGCACGUCUAGGUGAUCAUCCUAUAGUACUCUAUGUUUAUCAACACUACAUUCAUUAAACGUAUGUACGUUUAAGUUGUGGCAACCUCACGUGCCUGUUGUUUGAUGACAAAAUAUUUUUAGCAUACUCAGUCUUCGUUUGAAAACCAUACCAAUAUAACUUGGUAAACAUUGACCAUGCUUUGUUAGAAACAUAAUAUAAAUCUAGCCAAAAGAGUUGGCUUUGAUUUCAUCAUACAUCAAUUCAUGCGUAAGAGUACAUGAACCACAAAGCUUGUCCAGAUUGAACUGAAACAAGGGUUAGAAUACUUGCCUUAAGCGUCUGUUACGGUUAUUACACGUUCACGUUAAGUCUUUAAGGUCUCUACAAUAGAUGAUCACAUAGCAUACACAUUAGGUCAUGAAUGAGCAUACAUGAUUCCUAAUGAAUCUUACCCUUCUUCACAAUCUAAUUAUGACUUAGAUUUGUUAUUAUUGGUUCCAGCUUUCCGUUAUGUCAUUUUUACAUUCAUAUGCAAUUGAGUUACUUGAACUCUAAGUGAUCAUACCUAAGGUUUAAACAUGUCUUAACAGUGUUGUAAUUAAGCUAUUGUUCAUGCUCUUCUUACAACCAUUCUUCAAUGUCAAAAUCCUAAGGCUGGCGCUGCGGCGCCAGCUUUACUACUCUGACCCACGCCGUGGCGCGACUCGCCAGUAGCUUUUCCCCGGUUCCGACGCUGCGGCGCCACACUUCAGUAGGUCACAGCAUCCUCUCGGCCAUGCUCGGUGCUGCAACGCCACCUAUUUGGCCUUGGGCUGGUGCCGCAGCGCCAACUCUGUGUACCAGAAAUUUUUUACAAAUUUUUAUUUUUGUGAAACUCCCAGGCUCGUAACUUCUUCGUUACAAGUCCGAAUUGGCUUGUUCAAGAGCCUACGGUUCACAAAUUACAUAAUCUACAUGUUCAUGCAAGAAUUUUAUAUUUUUGACUUCGUUUACUAAAAAUUCACCUAUUGGUUCAUUUUUAACGAAAAUGAUAAACGUUCGUGAACGUUCAACGAUAGUUUCUUCGUUCUAAGUCAGAAUUCGGUCAUUUUCGAGUCCGCAACUCUAUAAUGCCAAAUAAGACUUGUCUUCAUCGAAAACCAAUGUUUUCAAGUUCAAACAAAAAAUCCUACUUCCAUUCUGAGAAUUUCACGAAUUCGACGAUUAUCGUCCAAUCGUGUGAAUUCCGACAAAACUUCGUUACUUAGGAUUUGUUCAUCGUUUUAAAUGAAUUCAAUUCAUUCUAUAGACAUUUCAAUUUACAUAUUACAACAACUUAUUUUUAAGUUAUGAUUUGGCUUAUUCCUCAUAAGUUAAUAACUUAACAAAUUAUAAACUACUAGAUUCCAUUUCAACAUUCUUACAUACUUUAAUCAUGUUAACAACAUUCAUGCAAACAUGACACAAGUCUUACAAGUUCUUACUUAAUUCAUAGCUUAUCUAUGAACAAAGUGCUUAUUCUCGGCUUAUUAGGACUUAAGUCCUUAUUUUAUUCAUUUUUAUCAUUCUUAACAUACAAGACCAUCACUUCACUAUCAAGCUAUCAUGGAAGAGAUGGAAGAUUAUAGGACAAGAGUCUUAACCUUGAUGAACUAGUUCUUCUUUUCUUCUUGAAAAUCUAACAAUUGAAGUUUAACUUAAAAGUGCUUAUUCUCUCUAACACUUAAGUUGCUUUAUGUUGGAUGAAAAAUAACAAUCCAACAAAUGAAUUUUAAGCUUGCUAUUUAUAGACUUCUCCAAAUUAGGGCAUAUUGGUCAUUAUGUUAUCCCACCUCCUUAGUAACGCCUUACUAUUCACUUACUUAACAACUAAGUAAUCUUGCUAACCACACUAAUUACUUGGCCUCCACAACAAAUCAUUGGUCAUCAAGAUUACCCAUGGGUUGCCCCAUGGAUCAAGCUAGUCCAUUGGAUCAAUACAUUGGGCUUAGGUUUAAUUACAUAGCUUAUUCUUGUGGGCUUGCAUUAAUUUGUUUUGGGCUUCACAUUCACCACCACUUGGGCUUACACCCUAAUGUUUAUUGGCUAUUCAAUUGUUUACACAAUCCUACUAGUCCAUGUCAUUUAAUUAAAAACCUUAUCACAUAUACUAUACGUAUAAUUCUCGUAUUCUAAUUCGUAUACUAAUUCAUAAUAUACGGAAUAUUAUCAUUCACAUAUACUCGUAUAAUACUUCGUAUCAUACUCGUAUAUACUACCUCGCACAAUACAUACAUAUCAUAUGAUCAUUACAUUAGAUUCUUAAUACUUGAUUUUCCUAAUGUUCUCGAACUAAGUCCGCAUGCGAAAUAUUGCAUUUUCCAUACUUAGAUUAUUAUUACAUAAUCCAUCUUAACAUUAUAACAUUACAUAUUUUUCAGAAGUUCAAAAAUAAUUCCCGAGCGGAAAUCGAUGAAUAGUAUUUUUCAGAAAAUUUCUCGGAAAACUUUUAUUUUCGUCUUGAAAAUUCAAACACUUUAAUUCCUGCACGUGGUUAAAAUACUACAACUUUCUUACGUUUCUAGGUUAUAGAACGACAUUCAUCUUACUAACACAUAAUAAUAACAAAUAAUACUAUUUUAUUCAUUAUAAAAGUAUUUACAAAAGGUUCGAUUUUCUGGGGCGUUACAUCAUAACUAUUGUUCAGUUAUUGAAGAUAUAUAAUUCGUAUGAUUCAAGCAUAUUGUUAAAUGGAAUAGUUGUACUUGUUGAGCUAGUUAUGCUCACUCUUUCUUAAACCAUAUGAAUGCAGCUAAGACCAAACGAACCGAAAGAUCUGGUAAGGAUAAAGGAAAGGCUAAGGCAAACCUGUAGAUUACCUAUGUAAUAGUAUAGGUUUGUAAUGAUAAUAUUUGAUAUUAUGACAAGAAUAAAUGUAAUGGUUAUAAAGAACCUGGGGAAUGGUAAUAUUAUUUUUGAAUAUAUAUAUAUAUAUAAGACAUAUUCGUUCUUUUGAGGCAUUUCAAUUGAAUGUUUAUGUGAACUGUAGCACCGUGGAACACCAUAUGUCGGGUUGGAAGAUACCCAGAUUUGGGGGUGUCUAAGAGAAAGCUUCACAAAACAUAAUAAAAGAGAAAAAUAAUUAUUUAGUAUAGGGGACAUAACACCCAAACUUGCCGAAAGAGAAGAAAAAAGAUAUAACACAUAUUUUGUUCACACAAUGGACACUGAUUGUUCAUAUAUUAAUAUUCAAUUGUUCUAAAUGAUACAUAAGGAACCACUGUUUGUUCAUAAACCCAUAUUCAACUCAGUAUUAUAAAGAAUCACUGACUAAUUGAACAAAAACUUUUUAAAAAAAAUUGCCCAAGUCAAUUCAAUACCAAGCCAUCCUCAAUAUUAUAUAUAUAUAUAUAUAUAUAUAUAUAUAUAUAUAUAUAUAUAUAUAUAUACACACACACACACACAUACACAAAAAAAAAUAAAACUAAUUUGAAAACACAGAAAUUCCCAACUGAACAGAACAUGAAUAAAAAGUCAAGACAAUAUGCUUAAAGCAUCCAAUUACAUGAUGUAGUGUAUGACUAGAAAUCUCAGGUUACUUAUCAGCGACUAAUUAUCUAACCUUCAUCCUCUUACAUUAUUACCGAAUACAUUUAACAUCCAAUUGGGUUUAAAUAAAAACAACCUUUACAUGUUUUCAUUAAACAAAAGAUUAAAAAGAGUUGGUUUCUGUAUCGUAGAUUCGAAAUUGUAAGCCCUCAAUUUGUCUAUGUUCUUACUUAAAUUACCCCUCUAAUUGGUAGUUGUGAUUUCCCAUAAAAAUUCAAACCCUACAAAGAAAGAGAUUAAUGGCACAUGAAAACCAUAAAUCGAUAUUAUCAGUUAAAGAACAGGAGGAAUCACCACGCAAUUCUUCAAAUUAAGCUCAAAAUUAACAAUUGAUUUCAAUCCAGCAUAUCACAAAUAAAUAAUCAGUUAAUCACCACCCAAAUCUUCAAAUUGGGCUAAAAAAAUUAACAAGUAAAAGAAACUUUUCCCUCAAUUUUUACGUUACAAAACUAUGAACAUAGAGAGUACGGAAAGAGAUUUUUACCUUUAGUUUUGCAACGAAGUAGGAAUAUAUAGCUUCUCUUCAUAUCUUAUCCUCGAUCUUCUUUCUUUCAGUGAGUCGAUUAGAGUUUUCUUUUCUUUUCUCUUUAUCGCCUCUACUGCUCUCUUUUUUUCCAGCACAAGGUAGGUGUAUCUAUAUAUACUUAUAUACAGAAAACUUCUAUCACACUUCUUGAUCCUUUGAAAACAUUAAAAAAAUAAAAUUAAAUUAAAGGAGCUUAGCCUCAU